CCUCCACAAUGCACGAAAGUGUGAUGGGGUUACCCCGAGUGCCUUCCGUUGAGGAGGGCUUUUAACUGGUGUAACAAGCCAGUAGAAUAAGGGGGGGGGCAAGAUUGGUGUCAGCCGCCGCGGUAAUACCAACCCCCCGAGUGGUAGGGACAAUUAUUGGGCUUAAAGCGUUCGUAGCCGGCUUGGAUAGUCUCCCGUUAAAUCCAGCGACUAAUCGUUGGGCUGCGGAAGAUACUUUCAAGCUAGGAGGCGGAAGAGGUCGGCGGUAUUCCUAGGGGAGGGGUGAAAUCCUAUAAUCCUAGGAGGACCACCAGUGGCGAAGGCGGCCGACCAGUACGCGCUCGACGGUGAGGGACGAAAGCUGGGGGAGCGAACCGGAUUAGAUACCCGGGUAGUCCCAGCCGUAAACGAUGCAGGCUAGGUGUCGGGGUGGCUACGUGCCGCUUCGGUGCCGCAGGGAAACCGUUAAGCCUGCCGCCUGGGGAGUACGACCGCAAGGUUGAAACUUAA
rnacentral:rRNA from 1 species